UACACAGCCUCAGAACUGGAGAAGAGUGGC
rnacentral:piRNA from 1 species